rnacentral:rRNA from 1 species
AACGAACGCUGGCGGCAUGCCUAACACAUGCAAGUCGAACGAGACCUUCGGGUCUAGUGGCGCACGGGUGCGUAACGCUUUGGAACCUGCCCUUAGGUUCUGAAUAACUCCCCGUAAGGGGUGCUAAUACCGGAUAAUGUCUUCGGACCAAAGAUUUAUCGCCUUUGGAUGGGCCCGCUUUGGAUUAGCUUGUUGGUAGGGUAAAAGCCUACCAAGGCGACGAUCCAUAGCUGGUCUGAGAGGAUGAUCAGCCACACUGGGACUGAGACACGGCCCAGACUCCGACGGGAGGAAGGAGUGGGGAAUAUUGGACAAUGGGCGAAAGCCUGAUCCAGCAAUGCCGCGUGAGUGAUGAAGGCCUUAGGGUUGUAAAGGUCUUUUACACGGGAUGAUAAUGACAGUAACGGGAGAAUAAGCACCGGCUAACGCCGUG